AUUGAACGCUGGCGGCAUGCCUUACACAUGCAAGUCGAACGGUAACGCGGGGCAACCUGGCGACGAGUGGCGAACGGGUGAGUAAUACAUCGGAACGUGCCCAGUAGUGGGGGAUAGCCCGGCGAAAGCCGGAUUAAUACCGCAUACGACCUAUGGGUGAAAGCGGGGGAGUCGCAAGACCUCGCGCUAUUGGAGCGGCCGAUGUCAGAUUAGGUAGUUGGUGGGGUAAAAGCCUACCAAGCCGACGAUCUGUAGCUGGUCUGAGAGGACGACCAGCCACACUGGGACUGAGACACGGCCCAGACUCCUACGGGAGGCAGCAGUGGGGAAUUUUGGACAAUGGGCGCAAGCCUGAUCCAGCCAUG
rnacentral:rRNA from 1 species